rnacentral:tRNA from 1 species
GCGUUGGCUGAGUGGCUUAAAGCACCAGAUUGAUACUCUGGCGUGUGAGCAAUCGCACCACUGGUUCGAAUCCAGUACGCC